UACGGAGGGUGCAAACGUUGCUCGGAAUCAUUGGGCGUAAAGCGCACGUAGGCGGCCUGUUAAGUCGGGUGUGAAAGCCCUGGGCUCAACCCAGGAAGUGCACUCGAAACUGGCGGGCUAGAGUAUCGGAGAGGUUGGUGGAAUUCUCGGUGUAGAGGUGAAAUUCGUAGAUAUCGAGAGGAACACCGGUGGCGAAGGCGGCCAACUGGACGAAUACUGACGCUGAGACACGAAAGCGUGGGGAGCAAACAGG
rnacentral:rRNA from 1 species